GGCAAGUUGAGUUGAUGCCAAAGAGCUCGAUUUUCGUCUCAUCUGACCACAACACUUUCACCCAGUUCUCCUUUGAAUCAUUCAGAUGUUCAUUGGCAAACUUCAGACAGGCCUGUACAUGUGCUUUCUUGAGCAGGGGGACCAUGCGGGUGCUGCAGGAUUUCAGUCCUUUACAGCGUUGUGUGUUACCAAUUGUUUUCUUGGUGACU